ensembl:rRNA 5S_rRNA 5S ribosomal RNA
GCUUACGGCCACACCGCCUGGUUCACGCCCGAUCUCGUUUGAUCUCGGAAGCUAAGGUAGGUUGGGCCUGGUUAGUACUUGGAUGGGAGACCGCCUGGGAAUACCAGGUGCUGUAAAGC